AGGACGAACGCUGGCGGCGUGCCUAACACAUGCAAGUCGAACGGACGAAGGGAGCUUGCUCCCCUAGUUAGUGGCGAACGGGUGAGUAACGCGUGAGCAACCUGCCUUUCAGAGGGGGACAACGGUUGGAAACGACCGCUAAUACCGCAUGAAGCAUCGGGGUCGCAUGGUCCUGAUGUUAAAGAUUUAUCGCUGAAAGAUGGGCUCGCGUCUGAUUAGAUAGUUGGCGGGUAACGGCCCACCAAGUCGACGAUCAGUAGCCGGACUGAGAGGUUGAACGGCCACAUUGGGACUGAGAUACGGCCCAGACUCCUACGGGAGGCAGCAGUGGGGAAUAUUGGGCAAAUGGGGGAAACCCUGACCCAGCAACGCCGCGUGAAGGAAGAAGGCUUUCGGGUUGUAAACUUCUUUUACCAGGGACGAAGGACGUGACGGUACCUGGAGAAAAAGCCACGGCUAACUACGUGCCAGCAGCCGC
rnacentral:rRNA from 1 species